rnacentral:rRNA from 1 species
CCUACGGGAGGCAGCAGUAAGGAAUAUUGGUCAAUGGACGAAAGUCUGAACCAGCCAUGCCGCGUGAAGGAUUAAGGCCCUCUGGGUUGUAAACUUCUUUUAUCUGGGACGAAAAAAGGGUAUUCUUACUCACUUGACGGUACCAGAGGAAUAAGCACCGGCUAACUCCGUGCCAGCAGCCGCGGUAAUACGGAGGGUGCAAGCGUUAUCCGGAUUUACUGGGUUUAAAGGGUGCGUAGGUGGGCUUGUAAGUCAGUGGUGAAAUCUCCGGGCUUAACCCGGAAACUGCCAUUGAUACUAUAGGUCUUGAAUUAUCUGGAGGUAAGCGGAAUAUGUCAUGUAGCGGUGAAAUGCUUAGAUAUGACAUAGAACACCAAUUGCGAAGGCAGCUUACUACGGAUAUAUUGACACUGAGGCACGAAAGCGUGGGGAUCAAACAGGAUUAGAUACCCUGGUAGUCCACGCCCUAAACGAUGGAUACUCGACAUCAGCGAUACACUGUUGGUGUCUGAGCGAAAGCAUUAAGUAUCCCACCUGGGAAGUACGAUCGCAGAUUGAAACUCAAAGGAAUUGACGGCUGAGACGNGACGAGACGACGACGAGGAGGAGG